UACGGGGGGGGGCAAGCGUUUGUUCGGAAUUACUGGGCGUAAAGGGCUCGUAGGCGGCCAACUAAGUCGGAUGUGAAAUCCCCAGGCUCAACUUGGGAACUGCAUCCGAUACUGGAUGGCUUGAAUUCGGGAGAGGGAUGCGGAAUUCCAGGUGUAGCGGUGAAAUGCGUAGAUAUCUGGAGGAACACCGGUGGCGAAGGCGGCUCGCUGGGCCAGUUCUGACACUCAUCCGCGAAAGCGUGGGGAGCAAACAGG
rnacentral:rRNA from 1 species